AUGGGUAAUUUUGAUGCUAAAAAUGAGAGGACCUUUAUUUUAUAAGAGUUCUAUGAAAUUGCUGGGAAACUUCCUGAUGUCACUGAACAAUUACAGAAACACUAUGGCGAGGGCAAUGUAUUUUUAGAUAGAAUUGACCGGUGUGGGUAUACAACUUGCUUCCAUCCAGUACACCGUUAUGAUAUAUAGCUAACCCACUAGUUUGGUGUGGUGUGUUGGCAUUUGGCAAGAACUUCGCGUGCUUUUGCUUUUCAUUUGCAUUUACCCCCAAUUUAGAUGAGCUCUAGCUGACAGGAGAUGCAUUUGUUGUCUAUGCUCUCUCUGUUAGUUAUGGGGCUUGCCACCACGACUGGCGACGGAGACCAUUGGGACAUAUUAUCCCUCCAGACCAAAGGUGUAUGCCCUGGCAAGUCUUUCAUCAAUCGAAGACCCACCGCAUUUAGUGUUUCUCAUUUAUAUUUUAAAUCCAGUGUACCUGGAAGCUCUGAAAUACUGGUGGCAAACAAGACUAUGGUACUUCACCCCUUUUAUCAAUUCAAAGACAAUGCAGUAUUCAUACCUGAGGUAAUGAAACAUCAUGAGGGAGAGUACUUCUGGAAAGAUCCUACCUUUCCCAUUAUGGUCAAAAGGAUCGAGCUCAUUGUCAAAGACUGCGCUGUCCCUCUGGAGGUGAAUUAUGGAGAGAAGGUUAGUCUAGUGGUGCCCAAGGAGGCUUCCGUGUUGGAGUUCACCCCUGAUAAGUCAUCUGACCGCUGGAUUCUGUGGAGCCGGAUCAACACGAACAACACGAGGGGAGCCAGGGGGACGGUGAGAGAUGACCUCUGGGUUGUCCUUCAGAUCACCCAAGCGGACGCGGGCCACUAUGCUUUCCUGAGGGAGAGCGGGGGUGAAAUCUCCAGCACUGCGCUCUUAGUUAAAGAACUCCAGAGAUAUCCUGAUCUGAGCGACGAGUCCAUCCAUCACCACUGGGAAAACAGGUUCCCAGUUCCCGUAUCCGAGGCAGUGCUUACGUUUAUCGAUUCCGACAAGGUUAAGCACGUGCUCUUCAAGAAUGGCAUGCAGACCGAAGAGGCAUUCCGGAUGUUUGGGACUCGGAUAGAACUACAGGCGAUAGAUCUUGGUGAUUUGACGCUCAGCAUUGUGGACUUGAACUCACGUGACGCAGGACGAUACGAGGUCCACGACAAGAACAAAGACCUUGCUGUUGUAAUAUGGCUCUCUGGGAGCCUUGAUUCAGGUUAUCCAUCUCGAGACCUGGUUGUGCCCAUUGGCGCUGCUAUUGUUAUCAGUACAUUGGUGUUCUGUUGCUGCUGUGUGAGAAAGUGGUGUUGCAAAAAGAGCAAUGCCCCUGUUACUUCAGGCCCCGGACAGCCCGUCUAUAUCCAUGUAAGUGGGUGUAGUUGUUGCUACCUAUCGCUCUCUUUCACGCUUUUUCUCUGUCACCACCAUACUGUCUUUCUGUCGCAGGAUCCUGUUGUAAUGUCUGAACCAGGCUACCGCCUACAACCUCAGCCUACGGUGAGAGACUCUGCCCCUACACUCUUAAACCAUAUUUCAACCUCUCUCUCUCUCUGUCUCUCCUUUAGUGCCUCCUUCUCUCAAUAUAACAAUUUAAUGAACCUGAGUAUAUCCUUUUACCAUCUCUGUUGCCACUGUUGGACUUGGUGCUUGGCCUCUAUGCAUUGCAUCAAGGAGCAACAUGUUAACUUGUUUUUCUGUGGAUUGAGUUUACUUAAGCUACAGUCACCAUGGACAUAA
ensembl:lncRNA